UACGAAGGGGGCUAGCGUUGUUCGGAAUUACUGGGCGUAAAGCGUGCGCAGGUGGUUAUUCAAGUCAGAGGUGAAAGCCCCGGGCUCAACCCGGGAAUGGCCUUUGAGACUGGAUGGCUAGAGUGUGAGAGAGGUGAGUGGAAUUCCCAGUGUAGAGGUGAAAUUCGUAGAUAUUGGGAAGAACACCCGUGGCGAAGGCGGCUCACUGGCUCGCAACUGACACUCGAUGACACGACAGCCGUGGGGAGCAAACAGG
rnacentral:rRNA from 1 species